UAACUGCACAGUGGUGAAUCUCCCCUUGAGCUCAGAUGUCUCUCAAGUUUACUCGUCAAGGUUGAGAGACUCUGUACCUGCGACAGAUGCUCGAUUCCUGUAGCUCCUCUGCUUGUAUGGACAUCUGGAAUCCGGAUGGCUUUCGGCACUCCAGUGGGACAGACAGGGUGUAAGAGAGAUGAACUGAUGCGAAGGCCAGCAUUCCAAAGAUGGAGAGCAGAAGUGUAAAAGACAACCAUUUUGUGAAGCACUGAAGUGAAAAGGACCAAUCAGCAUGGAAAGAUCUCUGAAUGCCAAAGGGCUCAGUAAUUCCUGAGCUAAUUCCUGAGAAAUUCACCUAAAGAAAGAGUGAGGUGUUUUGGACUGAAAUAUCCUAUUUCAAUCCAGUCUCCUCAAGUGCAUGAAACGUUCACCUUGGGGUUCCACAGCCAAUAUGCUCUGAA